rfam:Cavia porcellus supercont2_5 genomic scaffold, whole genome shotgun sequence.
GGGGAUUUAGCUCAGCGGAGUAAGCACCUGCCUUGCAAGCAGGAGGUCGUGAGUUCCAUCCCCG